rnacentral:tRNA from 1 species
CAAAAAAUAGUUUAAAAAAAACAUUAAUUUUGGAAAUUAAAAUUAUAUAAAAUUAUUUUUUUGA